AUUGAACGCUGACGGCAUGCCUUACACAUGCAAGUCGAACGGCAGCACGGGAGCAAUCCUGGUGGCGAGUGGCGAACGGGUGAGUAAUAUAUCGGAACGUGCCCAGUCGUGGGGGAUAACGUAGCGAAAGCUACGCUAAUACCGCAUACGAUCUAUGGAUGAAAGCGGGGGAUCGCAAGACCUCGCGCGAUUGGAGCGGCCGAUAUCAGAUUAGGUAGUUGGUGAGGUAAAGGCUCACCAAGCCGACGAUCCGUAGCUGGUCUGAGAGGACGACCAGCCACACUGGGACUGAGACACGGCCCAGACUCCUACGGGAGGCAGCAGUGGGGAAUUUUGGACAAUGGGCGCAAGCCUGAUCCAGCAAUGCCGCGUGCAGGAUGAAGGCCUUCGGGUUGUAAACUGCUUUUGUACGGAACGAAACGGUGAGCUCUAAUACAGUUUGCUAAUGACGGUACCGUAAGAAUAAGCACCGGCUAACUACGUGCCAGCCGCCGCCGUAA
rnacentral:rRNA from 1 species